GCAGUCGAGCGAAUGGAUUAAGAGCUUGCUCUUAUGAAGUUAGCGGCGGACGGGUGAGUACACGUGGGUAACCUGCCCAUAAGACUGGGAUAACUCCGGGAACCGGGGCUAAUACCGGAUAACAGUUUGAACCGCAUGGUUCAAAAAUAAAAGGCGGCUUCGGCUACCACUUACAGAUGGACCCGCGGCGCAUUAGCUAGUUGGUGAGGUAACGGCUCACCAAGGCAACGAUGCGUAGCCGACCUGAGAGGGUGAUCGGCCACACUGGGACUGAGACACGGCCCAGACUCCUACGGGAGGCAGCAGUAGGGAAUCUUCCGCAAUGGACGAAAGUCUGACGGAGCAACGCCGCGUGAGUGAUGAAGGCUUUCGGGUCGUAAAACUCUGUUGUUAGGGAAGAACAAGUACAGUUGAAUAAGCUGGCACCUUGACGGUACCUAACCAAAAAGCCACGGCUAACUACGUGCCAGCAGCCGCGGUAAUACGUAGGUGGCAAGCGUUAUCCGGAAUUAUUGGGCGUAAAGCGCGCGCAGGUGGUUUCUUAAGUCUGAUGUGAAAGCCCACGGCUCAACCGUGGAGGGUCAUUGGAAACUGGGAGACUU
rnacentral:rRNA from 1 species